UACGGGGGGAGCAAGCGUUGUUCGGAAUUACUGGGCGUAAAGGGCUCGUAGGCGGCCAACUAAGUCAGGGGUGAAAUCCUGGAGCUCAACUCCAGAACUGCCUUUGAUACUGAAGAUCUUGAGUUCGGGAGAGGUGAGUGGAACUGCGAGUGUAGAGGUGAAAUUCGUAGAUAUUCGCAAGAACACCAGUGGCGAAGGCGGCUCACUGGCCCGAUACUGACGCUGAGGCACGAAAGCGUGGGGAGCAAACAGG
rnacentral:rRNA from 1 species